AUAUGGCUUACCCUCAAUGUACCCACUGAAGAAAACUGAUUUUUCCUCUGUAAUCAGCUAUAAUUUCAUAGUGUCCCAUGCUAGAGCAAACUGUGGCUCUUAACCAUUGCCCAGCCUCCAUGCCUGUAGGCUGCUGGCAAUGAAGUGGGUCACACAGUG